rfam:Dipodomys ordii contig_27462, whole genome shotgun sequence.
GGGAAGGUGGCUCAGUGGUAGAGCGCUUGCCUUGAAUGCAUGGGGCCCUGGGUUCGAUUCCUCAGCACCCCA